rnacentral:rRNA from 1 species
CAUGAUUCAGCGGCGGACGGGUGAGUAAUGCCUAGGAAUCUGCCUGGUAGUGGGGGACAACGUUUCGAAAGGAACGCUAAUACCGCAUACGUCCUACGGGAGAAAGUGGGGGAUCUUCGGACCUCACGCUAUCAGAUGAGCCUAGGUCGGAUUAGCUAGUUGGUGAGGUAAAGGCUCACCAAGGCGACGAUCCGUAACUGGUCUGAGAGGAUGAUCAGUCACACUGGAACUGAGACACGGUCCAGACUCCUACGGGAGGCAGCAGUGGGGAAUAUUGGACAAUGGGCGAAAGCCUGAUCCAGCCAUGCCGCGUGUGUGAAGAAGGUCUUCGGAUUGUAAAGCACUUUAAGUUGGGAGGAAGGGCAGUAAGUUAAUACCUUGCUGUUUUGACGUUACCGACAGAAUAAGCACCGGCUAACUUCGUGCCAGCAGCCGCGGUAAUACGAAGGGUGCAAGCGUUAAUCGGAAUUACUGGGCGUAAAGCGCGCGUAGGUGGUUCGUUAAGUUGGAUGUGAAAGCCCCGGGCUCAACCUGGGAACUGCAUCCAAAACUGGCGAGCUAGAGUAUGGCAGAGGGUGGUGGAAUUUCC